rnacentral:rRNA from 1 species
GAUGAACGCUGGCGGCGUGCUUAACACAUGCAAGUUGAACGAACGACUUUUGACGGACACUUGUUGGAAGACAGAAGAAGUUAGUAGCGGACGGGUGAGUAACACGUGGGCAAUUUACUUUUCAGACAGGGAUAACAUCGGGAAACUGGUGCUAAUACCUGAUACGCUUAGCGGUAGGCAUCUACUGCUGAGGAAACAGAGGCCUCUCGACGAAGCUCCUGCUGAACGAUAAGCCCGCGCCUGAUUAGCUAGUUGGUGGUGUAAGGGGCCUACCAAGGCAACGAUCAGUAGCCGGCCUGAGAGGGUGAACGGCCACACUGGGACUGAGACACGGCCCAGACUCCUACGGGAGGCAGCAGUGGGGAAUAUUGCGCAAUGGGGGAAACCCUGACGCAGCAACGCCGCGUGAGUGAAGAAGGUUUUCGGAUCGUAAAGCUCUGUCAAUUGGGAAGAAGGCCUACUAGUCAAUAGCUAGUGGGAUGACGGUACCUAAAAAGGAAGCUCCGGCUAACUAUGUGCCAGCCGCCGCAGUAAUAC